AAGUGAAAUCGCAAAAUGGCAAAGUCAAAGUCAAAGUAAAAUAAAAUAAUCACGAUCAAUUCUUCUUCUGCUUCUUCGAUUCUGAAUCUUCUUCGUUUUUUUCUUUUAGGGCUGUCCGAAUUUCCUCUUUGAAAUAGUGGCUUUUUCC
rnacentral:ribozyme from 1 species